AAAGGGAGCCGGAGACUUCGCAGCGAAGGGCACAUUCCUCCCCUCUGCAGGCUGCAGUCACCACGCACAGCGGCGGCGCUGGCCGGAGAUGGAGCCGACCGGCCGGAGUACCAAGAGGAUGAGACCCGCGCCGCCCCACACCCACGAAUCUACGCCAGGUCCAGCGGAAACGACGGAUCCGGCCGCGGGGAGAACCCAACACCCGCCGCCGGGAGCUGGGGGUGAUGGCGGCGAGGGACCGCCGGACCGCAUCAGCGAUCUUCCCGACGCGGUCCUCGGCGAGAUAAUCUUCCUCCUGCCCACCAUGGAGGGCGCCCGCACCCAAGCCCUCGCGUCCCGGUGGCGCCACCUCUGGCGCACCGCCCCCCUCAACCUCGACUGCCGCGGCAUCCCCGGCAACCUCCCCGGCGCCAUACUCUCCGCCCACGGGGGCCCCGUCCACCGCCUCUGCCUCCCGUCGCUCCUCCUCCAGUACAGAGCCGAUGUGGCAGGCACCUGGCUCCGGUCCCCCUCCCUGGACACGCUCCAGGAGCUCGAGUUCUACCUAGAGCUACCAAUAACAUACAGAUUUUCGUUCUCAAGGUUACAGCUGCUGCAACCACCGCCGGCGUCCAUCUUCAGGUUCUCGUCCACUCUCCGCGUCGCCACCAUCAGCCAGUGCCAUCUCCCGGACAAUACCGUGGAGACGCUUCAGUUUCCCCUGCUCAACAAGCUUGCGCUCGUGGAGGUCAAAAUCUCGGAGGGCUCGCUGCAGAGCAUCAUCACCUCCGGCUGCCCUGCCCUGGAGAGCUUGUUGCUCAGGACUAGUUUUGACAUCCGUGGUCUCAGGAUCAACUCCCCUAUCCUUAAAAGUAUAGGCGUUCAUUCUAGGUUUGUAGAACUCAUCAUUCAGGAUGCCCCUUCACUUGAAAGAUUGCUCUGUCUGAGAAUGGAUAUGAGAAUGCGAGUGUCAGUACUCUCCGCACCUAGACUGGCGACCUUGGGUUACAUUUCUCAGGAUUCACAGGACUCCAAAAUCAUGUUUGGCUCCACGGUUAUUCAGAGAUUGUGCGUUGUUAGCCUGACAAUGGUGGUGCCUACUAUCAAGAUCUUAGCUGUGCAUAUGAAUUUUAAUCUGGAUAUGGUUAUUGAGUUGAUGAAAUGCUUUGUAUGCUUGGAGAAGUUGUAUAUGAAGAUUCAGACAGAUUCACCAGCAGGAACAAAUUUCUGGCGUCAUAAACACCGGAAUUUUCUCACAUCUCAGGACAUUCGUUUGAAGACCUUAGUGCUGGGACAUUACCGAGGCAUCCAGGCACAAGUUAACUUUGUCACAUUCUUUAUACUGAAUGCGAAACUGCUAGAGUCCAUCCGACUUGAGGUUGAUUCCAGGGAUUACAAUGACAGAUUUUUCGCAGAACAGUGUAGGAUGCUUCAGAUGGAGAACAGGAUUUCUAGAGGUGCUCAGCUCUGUGUUACAACAGGUUCUCACAAUGAUGUUUCGAGCACCGUUGACCUCAAUGAUUUGGAUUUGGCUGAUCCGUUCGCAUGUAGAUGUUGAGAGUGGGCCUGGCUCCUGGUUGAGUUAUUCUUGCGUAUCUCAUUCUGUGUUUUUGCCCAAGCAUGGUUAGUUUUCUCAUACCUGUAGUCUUUCUAACCUUGUGUUAUCCCUUAACUUUAUGUUAUUUAAAUACUAAAAGAAAACAGGACCAAACGACGAUGGCCAGAGUCAGCUAUAUUAUGAAGAUGUCAUCUGGGGGUGCUCAUUUUGAUUGUCCACUGGCACACCUCCCAAACGGUUCCAUUUGCAGUGAAGAUUGUACAGUGUCUUCUCAAUGUCGCUAGCUCUGAGUUUGUAUAAAGGAAAAUUUCUGUUGUUCUCUCCACUGUUCAACUAGGGUGUUUUGAACCAUGUUAUUUGACUGACAAGCUUGCACUAUCCCAAAACAACAUGAUGUUAAAACCGGCUACUUGUGAAGCCAUCAGCCAUGCCUGGUGGCAGCAGCUAUAUUCACAGGCUACUUUUGACAAUGAAGAUAUUUUUACAGAACAACAUAUAUAGGAUGCUUCAGAUAGAGAAGAGUGUUUCUAGAGGUGCUCAGCUUUGUUUCACCACAGAUUGUCACCAUGAUGUUUCGAGUAUCAUUGAUCUCAGUGAUUUGGAUUUUCGUGAUGCCUUCUCGUGUAGAUGAUGAAAGCCGGUCUGGCCCUUGGUGAAGUUAUUCUUGCAUAUCUCACUCAGUUUUGGUCCAAACUUAGCCAAUCUUUCUAACCUUGUGUUGUCCCUGAACUUUGUGUUAUUUAAACACUAAAAGAGAUCAGGACCAAACAACAAUGGCUGGAGUCAGCUAUUUUUGUUCCUGGUGGUGCUUAUCUUGACUGUCUGCUGGUACACUCGCCCAAAUGAUCCCAUUCGCAGUGAAGAUUGUACAGUGUCUUCUCAAUGUCUAUUGGGAAGCACCGAGGUGUUACUGAAUUGUACCCAGACUGUAUCCAUCUGAGUUUGCAUAGAGGAAAACUUGUGUUGCUCUUUCCACCAUCUGGGUUCCGCUGCUAAAGCUGGGAGGGAGUGUUGUGGCAAUUAAUUAUCAAUCGCUCACAACUUCAUAUUCCAUAACCAGGGUGUUUUGAACCAUGUUUUUUUAACUGGGUUUGGUAAUUGUGGAGAUGGUUAUUCUUUUGCCCAAAGUAACUUGUUUAGAUCUCGUGUCUGUAGUGUUGCUAAGUUUGUACUAUCACAAAACAACAGUGUGAUGUUUAAAACAGGCUAGUACUUGUGAAGCAAUCAGCCCUGC